rnacentral:rRNA from 1 species
UCGGGAAACCGGAGCUAAUACCGGAUAAUAUAUUGAACCGCAUGGUUCAAUAGUUAAAGACGGUUUUGCUGUCACUUAUAGAUGGAUCCGCGCCGCAUUAGCUAGUUGGUAAGGUAACGGCUUACCAAGGCAACGAUGCGUAGCCGACCUUAGAGGGUGAUCGGCCACACUGGAACUGAGACACGGUCCAG